CAAGACGUGGCAAAUGCAUGCAUUACUAGAGAAGAGAUGAAGGAAUACAGUUUCCAAAGGGUUAAGAAGCACAAUAGAAAUAUAGAAAACUAUACAAUCGAGUCAACGAUUUACCAGAACACAAAACCAUCAAAGGGCAGGAGGACAUGAGUUUGAGAGAGGAGUUCACCUUGGAAUUGGACCGAGGAAAUUUGCAUCUUCUCCUUCAUCCCUUUUGCAUGUUCAAAACCUCACGGAAAUGCUUCCUCGCAUUUUUCCUACUGAUCACCAGCCAUUACUGCAUGAGAUUGAAUGAUCUGCGUAGCUCACUCGGUUAAGCGUUUCUUCAGUUCAACCAAUGCGUCUCUCAAGUACUCGAGCUCAGACAAGUUGAGGUUGUCAAUGGGGGCUUCCCACCAUAGAAUAUUCUCAUGGUUAUCCCCUAACCUUUCUAGUUCUUCGCUCUUUUUCUUCUCCUCCUGAAGCUAGAUAAGAAGCUCAGAAUACUCCCAGGUCAGCUCCUCAACAUUGGCUAGAUGGUACCCAUCGACGAUGGAGAAAAUACUUUCCUCCCCCACCUAUGGGCAGUUUUAUGAGAGAAACCUAUGGACAAUAGAAUCCACAGAUGGGCGUCCAAAUGAUUAUGCAUUGCCCGAUGGAGAGAAAACGACGAUGGGCCCAGAAUGACGCUUGGCAAACGUAACAUGCCUAGCAGAAUAUCUGGCAAUCCUCUGGCGCCCCUUGCUUGUUCUUCCUUUUGCCAUGAUCCAAAGGACUAGGAAUGAUUCAAGAGGUCAA